rnacentral:rRNA from 1 species
AUUGAACGCUGGCGGCAGGCCUAACACAUGCAAGUCGAGCGAGCGGCGGACGGGUGAGUAAUGUCUGGGAAACUGCCUGAUGGAGGGGGAUAACUACUGGAAACGGUAGCUAAUACCGCAUACCAUCAGAUGUGCCCAGAUGGGAUUAGCUGGUAGGUGGGGUAACGGCUCACCUGGGCGACGAUCCCUAGCUGGUCUGAGAGGAUGACCAGCAACACUGGAGCUGGGACACGGUCCAGACUCCUACGGGAGGCAGCAGUGGGGAAUAUUGCACAAGGGGCGCAAGCCUGCUGACGCCAUGCCGCGUGUGUGAAGAAGGCCUUCGGGUUGUAAAGCACUUUCAGCGGGGAGGCGUUACCCGCAGAAGAAGCACCGGCUAACUCCGUGCCAGCAGCCGCGGUAAUUC